CUGUCUUCAAUGUCUUGUAGUAACCUAUAAUGAAAAAGAAUAUGAAAAGGAAUAUAUGUAUGUACAUGUAUGACCGAACUAUUACGCUGUACACCAGAAAUUGACACAUUAUAAACUGACAAUGCUUCAAUUAAAAAAAGAUAUUUUGAACUGAAGUAAAUAAGAAUUCUUACCUUCGUAUGCAAACAGCAAAGAUGUCUUAUUGGGGGGGGGAGGCAUAAAUAAGGUAGAUGACCUCUGCCUCAACAUUUUUUAUUUAAAACAAAAACUGCGCAGCUCUCCGUUAGCUAGAAAGGAAAGAUGCUGAGGAGGUAAGAAAAGGCAUCCAUAUCUUACUGCAUCCCUUCGACAUCCUGAUCACCUUCCUCUUCAGUUUAUUAUCAGCCUUCUUUUCAGUCGGUUAUAUUUUAGACGAGGUGCAGUAAGACGUAGUAGUCAUCCAGGUAUGGCUGCUCCAUGGUGAUUAGGUUCUAUCUUGUGCCCAACACCUUCUUUUUCCCCAAGGGACUUAGAAGAUCAACAAAAGCACCCAGAUAAAGCCGAGCAGACGAGGCCAGCCAGUGCUUGGAGAGGAACAGCCCUCCAGACACCGGGACAGACUGAGGAGGGUGCCACCCUCAACGCUUUCCACUGUCACCACUUCUGGACAUCUCUUCCCACGCUGGAUGCCGUAUUGGGGAGAAGCCAGAGACGGUAAUUCAAGAGGCAGAGAAGGGCUGUUGGAUCAUGAUUGGAUCAAAGAUAAAAAACAAAUUUCUCCUCUAUAGGGCAGGAAACUGUAUUUGAUAUCUUGUAGUAACCUAUAAUGAGAAAGAAUAUGAAAACAAAUAUAUGUAUGUAUAUAUAUGACUGAAACAUUACGCCAUACACCAGAAAUUGACACAUUGUAAACUGACUAUACUUACAAAAAAAAGGAAAAAAAACCCAAAUUAUUGGAUCAGGCUAAAUUUAACGUGGAGUAGAUAUUUGGUUACUUUUUGUUUUCCCCUGCUAAUAAGCAGAAUGGAGCUGGAGAGAAACACCUGAGUAGUUAUACAUAAUUUGAAAGAGCUGUUCCUGGAAAGAUCUGAGCUGAAGAGUGAGCGAAGUUUUGCAACAUGGCUACAUUGUUCGCAGCAUGCUGAGGGUGGAGAGACCAUCGUACUGGCUUAGUGGUCAGGUAUACUGAGUGUGGUGGUUAAUCUAUGUGUCAACUUUGACCAGAUCACAGGGAACCCAGGUAAUCCUAGUACACUGGCCUGUGUGAGUUACCAGUGCAUGGGCCGCCGUUAAGUCACAGACGUGGAUAAUAUCUUCCCAAGAGGUUAUGUCAGCAACAAAGAGAUAGCACCUGGGCCAGCACCGCGAUGUCCCGGUUUAGGAUCAGGACGGAGUCUGCAGGUAACACGCCGAAGGAGAGGCCAGAGCGGGAGCAGCAGGACCAAGAGGCCGGGGCAUCACGAAAGCCAGAGCGCAGCCGCGUGAGAGAACUGAGAGGAAGGAGUGGCAUUUUAAACAGGAUUUAGACUUUCCCUCUUGCUGACCUGAGACAUCCAACAGCCAGUUCUCUACGCUGACUUGCUUAACGUUCAUAGCUUCUCGGUAUUUACUUGAAACGUCACUGCCUGGGGAGAGAUGCAAAUGGAAAUGUGUAUUGCUUCUGAAAAUGUUUUCCUUUGAGGCUUAGUGGGGAACUGACAUGGUGCCAAAACACCCCUGCGCAGACUGCUUGUUGCUGGAAAGGGGGGAAGGCAACACUCACUGGAAGGCCUUGACUGUGAUCAGCGUUACCAUCACUGAGAGUGGGCAGCCAGACACGGGCUCCCCCUUCAGUGGCACAACAGGAACGCUGUGCUAUUACUGAGGAAGGGGUCUUGUCCAAAAUGGUUAACCUGAGUAGAAUGAAGCCUUUCUGUUUGCCUUCCAGUUUAUGGAUAAAUACAGGGUAAAGGAGCAAGUGAAGUAUCUCUACAAGGAAACAGAUAAAAUCAGAAAGUGGAACACGUUACAGCACAACCAUAUUCAGUACACAGAACACAGUGUAACUGCCUGUGCAAAAAGUGAAGGUCCUAGGGAAAGGGGUUGGGGGGCACAAGAGGGAAUUAUGUUUUAUUAAGAGAGAUUAUACGAGACAGAAUAAUGCAAUGUAUAGUUCUUAUUUGGAUCCUGGUGUGUACACAAGAAAGCAGGUUUUGAGAUCACUGGAAAAUUUAACUAUGAAUUGAUAUUGGAGAUACUGGGGAGUUGUUAAUUUUGUUAGGCAUGAUAAAUCAUGUGAUUGUAAAGUAAAAGCUUAGUUUUAAAAAGGCAUCCUGUAAAGAAGUUGUGGUACAUAUAUAUAAUGGAAUAUUACUCAGCCAUAAAAAGAAUGAAAUCACGCUAUUUGCAACAACAUGGAUGGACCUAGAGAUUAUCAUAUUAAGUGAAGUAAGUCAGACAGAGAAAGACAAAUAUCAUAUAUUACUUAUAUGCAGAAUCUAAAAAAUAUGAUACAAAUUCUAUUUACACACUAAAACCAGACUCACAGAUGUAAACAAACUAUGGUUACCAAAGGGGAAAGAGUGGGGAGGGAUAAAUUAGGGAUUGGAGAUUAACAGACACAUUAAAAUAGAUAAACAACAAAGGCCUACUGUACAGCACAGGGAACUAUAUUCAAUUUCUUAUAAUAACAUAUAAUGGAAAAGAAGCUGAAAAGAAAAUACGUAUGUAUGCAUAUGUAUAACUGAAUCUCUUUGCUGUACAUCUGAAACUAACACUGUAAAUCAACUACACUUCAAUAAAAUUUUUUUUUAAAUGCUAAGUAAAUCUCUAAAAAAUGCAUCCUGGAGUAUUUUGAGGUGAAUUACCAUAAUGUCUAUAACUCACACUGUGAUACUGUAGGAAAAAUGAGAGGGAUGUCUUUGUUUUACAGAGAUAAACAACAGAAUAUGUAGGGGUAAAUGGUACCUCUGUAGCUUACAUUAAACAAUUUCAACCCACUCCCGAGCAACUAACAAAGCAAACAGAGCAGAAUCAGACAUCACUAACGUUCACCAGUAUCUGGUUGCCCCUCCUUUCUAAUGCCUGGAGAAUCACACCUCCCAACGUUCUUGGAGUUAAUACAGUCGUGGCCGGGUUAACAGAUCUGGCAGAUGGAAUGUGAGCAGAAGUAAUAACACGCUUCAGGGGGAAGGAUUUAAUCACCUGUAUUGAUUCUCCAGACUCCUCUCAAUCUUGGCCACAGCAAACCCAGAGGCCUCUUGUUUUACUGUUGAUAUCAUCACAUUACAGACCCCCUGUCAACCUGGGCCCCCAAGUGAUGCCUCAAUGAAGCAUAGCCCCCGAUCUUCCCACCAACCUAUGUUGAACGUAUAGCAGAACAUUGUGUUGCUUUAAAGGCCACUGUAAAGCCACUGGGGCUGUUUGUUACUAGAAUAUAAUAUAGCCUUUCCUGACUGAUACAGUUAACAGGUAUUAAAAUUAAGUGAUGGGUAUGUUUUAUUUUUCUCUCCAGUUUUCUGAAUUUUUCUUACAAUAAAAGGUCUAAAAAAUGA